rnacentral:rRNA from 1 species
ACGGAAGGCAGCAGUGAGGAAUAUUGGUCAAUGGACGGGAGUCUGAACCAGCCAAGUAGCGUGAGGGAUGACGGCCAUAUGGUUGUAAACCUCUUUUGCGAGGGAAUAAAGUGCGUCACGUGUGGUGCAUUGCAUGUACCUUGCGAAUAAGGAUCGGCUAACUCCGUGCCAGCAGCCGCGGUAAUACGGAGGAUCCGAGCGUUAUCCGGAUUUAUUGGGUUUAAAGGGAGCGUAGGCGGGAAGUCAAGUCAGCUGUGAAAUGUAGUCGCUCAACGUCUGCACUGCAGUUGAAACUGGUUUUCUUGAGUGCGUAAGAGGCAGGUGGAAUUUGUCGUGUAGCGGUGAAAUGCUUAGAUAUGACGAAGAACUCCGAUUGCGAAGGCAGCCCGCUGGGCCGCAACUGACGCUGAAGCUCGAAGGUGCGGGUAUCAAACAGGAUUAGAUACCCUGGUA